rnacentral:rRNA from 1 species
GGACCCAGCCCACAGUUGCCAGCGUACUCUCUGGAGUGACGGGUACACUGUGGGGACCGCCGCUGCUAAAGCGAGAAGGAAUGGGCAACGGUAGGUCAGUAUGCCCCGAAUAUCCCGGGCUACACGCGAGCUACAAUGGUUGGUACAAUGGGUAUCUACCCCGAAAGGGGACGGGAAUCUCCUAAAACCAAUCUUAGUUCGGAUUGAGGGCUGCAACUCGCCCUCAUGAAGCUGGAAUCCGUAGUAAUCGCGUUUCAACAGAACGCGGUGAAUACGUCCCUGCUCCUU